UACGUAGGGGGCUAGCGUUGUUCGGAAUUACUGGGCGUAAAGCGCACGUAGGCGGAUAUUUAAGUUAGGGGUGAAAUCCCAGGGCUCAACCCUGGAACUGCCUUUAAUACUGGGUAUCUCGAGUCCGAGAGAGGUGAGUGGAAUUCCGAGUGUAGAGGUGAAAUUCGUAGAUAUUCGGAGGAACACCGGUGGCGAAAGCGGCUCACUGGAUCUCUUCUGACGCUGAGGCACGAAAGCUAGGGUAGCGAACGGG
rnacentral:rRNA from 1 species